GGAUAGUUGGUAGAGUGGUCAAAUACACCCGAUUGCUAAUCGGGGGUCGCUAACGCGGCACAAGGGUUCGAAUCCCUUACUAUCCGCCA
rnacentral:tRNA from 1 species